rnacentral:tRNA from 1 species
UUCGGAAUAGUGAAAUGGUAUCACACAACACUUUGACUGUUGUAUUAUUAGUUCGAGUCUAGUUUCCGAAGCCA